GCUCAUCAGCAUGUUCAAAACUUAUUCAUGAAAUCCAAAAGGCAUCAAAAUUUUCUGUCCAGUUUUCAGAUUACAGGUUGUAAGCAACAAGUUCAGAAUACACUGUCAUCAUAUAAUCUUAAUUGUGAGAAAUGUCAAUGCUACAGCAGGGUUUUCUGAUGUUUUGUGUGUACUGUGAUUUCAGGGCACAUACUUCUGAGGAUAUGCAACCUGGUACAUAAAGUCCUGUGAAACAAGACUGUUGGUAAAGAGGGCAAGGUUCUAUGUGUUACAUUUUCUAUUCUCCUUUUAUUUUACAAAUUUGGUUCACCUUCAUGACAUUGUUGAGUAAACCUGUCCUGAGUUUCUGUGUCUUGCAUGACCUUUCACCUGAAUGUUCAUGUAACGCGGAGCUAAAGCACUUUGGAGCAAUGUUUGCCCCAACCAUCUAACGACAGCAAGUUAUCACUUGCUUGUGGAGCACCCACUUAAUUUUCCAGCUUCAACAUACAGAACUGCACUGCCGAGAAAGCAUUUCCAGAUGACACUGCCAGGAAAGCAUUGCCGAGAAUUGGGAGAUGUGCGGAGAUCUAGUGUGCUAAUGCAAUGGAAAGAUUGGAUCAGAGCGACUAUAGCAACAGGUACCCCCUUGAGCAACAGUUUAAGAUUCUUGGAAAAAAUAUUCUUAUAAGAGUUCAUUUUCUGUUGUACUCCAUUACUUCUACUCCCAUUAAAUAGCGUGUGGCUUCUUGUUGGAGUAUGAUGGCUGGGAAAUAUAGUGAUCGAAUAUUUGCAGUAAUAUUUUUCCAAGAUAGAUCCAUCCACCACAUAUGAAACUGAAGUUUUUCUGAAACUGAGCAUU